rnacentral:rRNA from 1 species
AUACAGAGGGUGCGAGCGUUAAUCGGAAUUACUGGGCGUAAAGCGCGCGUAGGCGGCUUGUUAAGUCAGAUGUGAAAUCCCCGGGCUCAACCUGGGAACUGCAUCUGAUACUGGUAAGCUAGAGUUUGGGAGAGGGAAGUAGAAUUUCAGGUGUAGCGGCGAAAUGCAUAGAGAUCUGAAGGAAUACCAGUGGCGAAGGCGACUUCCUGGCCUAAAACUGACGCUGAGGUGCGAAAGCGUGGGUAGCAAACGGGAUUAGAAACCCCUGUAGUCC